UCGCUGAAUAUUGGCAAGCUGCAAUGUAGCUUUACUAUUUGGCUGUAGCAGCGCUACUAAAGUUCCAACUGUUGGAAAAUAAGCUUGGAAUUCCAUUUGGCAGUUAUUUGGUCAUCACAUCGCUUAGAAAGCAACAGAUUUUGCCAUGUGACAGUCAUUUAAGUGCGCUGCAUUUUAGCUUAAAUUUUAGGUGGGACAGCGCUACCUUAACCUCAUAAGAAAGCGAAUUCGCUUGAAAUUCUGUUUGGUUGAGAUUUGGCAGUUAGGUUAGUCAUUUCAGCCGCGAAUUCUGGCAUUCUGGAUUAAAAAAGCAGCUGAUUUGUGUUUAUAAGUAUAUAAGCGAUUCUUAUAGGUGUUAUUAUUAGUUAUGGGGAAGUUCAAACUCUCAAGUGCUAAUUUUCAAAAAUUGAAAAAUUUCAAAUUAAGUGGAACCUAUUAUAGACACAUUAAAAAGUCGGUGAAGUCGGACUUUACAACUAUCAAUGCUACGAAAGAGUACGAAAUAAACUUAAUUGAGGACAAUGUAAACCAUUUAAGUGAAACCAAUGAUAUACAAAUCCCUAAUCAGAAACUGCCUCUUUCCUUAUUACCAGUUGAUGAAACAAUCGAUUCAUCAAACAGUGACGAUCAAGAAUGCGUUGAAGAAAGUUAUUUACGAAAUAACAGUGACUCGCAAGAUGAAGAUGUAAUAACUUACAAUUUCAAUGAAAAGUUACGACAAUGGGCCAUUUCAUUUAAUAUCUCUCAUGUUGCCAUUACAGCAUUGUUAACGAUGUUACAUGUACUUAAAUUACCUAACCUACCAAAAUCAUCAAGAACACUUUUACAAACCCCCAGAGAAACAACAAUUGCGAAAAUGGGCAAUGGCCAUUAUUGGCAUAAUAUGGACUCGAAAAGGGAAUUGUUAACUUACUACCUAAGAUUGAUAGUGCAACUAAUUUAGAAUUAAGUUUCAAUAUUGAUGGGUUACCAAUAUACAACAGUACAAAAAUGGAAUUUUGGCCCAUUUUGUGUUUAAUAAACAAUAUGCGAAACUUGCAUCCAUUCGUAGUGGGCAUUUAUUGUGGUACCACCAAACCACCCAGUGUUCAGGGUUAUUUAACACCAUUUGUAGAAGAAAUAAAACCUCUUUUAAAGAAUGGGAUUUUCAUUAAUGGAAUAAAAUGCAGUUUAAAGGUGAGAUGCUUCAUUUGCGACACUCCAGCUCGUUCAUUUGCAAAAGGUGUUGUGAAUUUCAAUGCAUAUAACAGAUGCACAAGAUGUACGGUCAUUGGAGAAUACAAUCAUGAAUCUCAUCGUAUGAGUUUUCCGCGCAUUGAUUUGAACGUAAUUUGGCUCAAACACUUAAAUUAUGAUUAAAAACACUACUAUUAAUAAACAAAAACAACGCUUCGCUUAACACUCGCGAGUUCAGAACUAUUCGUCAUGUUACAGAUUAGCGCAGAUGGAUAUUUCGAUGCACGCAAUUUGGUAUGUUUCUAUAGACGGUAAAGGCAGGAGUUCGAAUCCGACCACCUCCAGAGAAUCGCUACUAAAAAAA